rnacentral:rRNA from 1 species
AUUGAACGCUGGCGGCAGGCUUAACACAUGCAAGUCGGGCGAGCGGCGGACGGGAGAGUAAUGUCUGGGGAUUUCCCUGAUGGAGGGGGUUAACUUCUGGAAACGGUAGCUAAUCCCGCAUACCAUCAGAUGAACCCAUAUGGGAUUAGCUUGUAGGUAAGGUAAUGGCGUACCUAGGCGACGAUCCCUAGCUGGUCUGAGAGGAUGUUCAGGCAGACUGGGACUGAGGCACGGCCCAGACUCCUACGGGAGGCAGCGGUGGGAGAUGUUGCAGAAUGGGCGCAAGCCUGAUGCAGCCAUGGCGCGUGUGUGAAGAAGGCCAUCGAGGUGUAAAGUACUUACAGUGAGGAGGCGUUACCGGCAGAAGAAGCACCGGCUAACUCCGUGCCAGCAGCCGCGGUAAUAC